GACGAACGCUGGCGGCGUGCUUAACACAUGCAAGUCGAACGGAAAGGCCCUGCUUUUGUGGGGUGCUCGAGUGGCGAACGGGUGAGUAACACGUGAGUAACCUGCCCUUGACUUUGGGAUAACUUCAGGAAACUGGGGCUAAUACCGGAUAGGAGCUCCUGCUGCAUGGUGGGGGUUGGAAAGUUUCGGCGGUUGGGGAUGGACUCGCGGCUUAUCAGCUUGUUGGUGGGGUAGUGGCUUACCAAGGCUUUGACGGGUAGCCGGCCUGAGAGGGUGACCGGCCACAUUGGGACUGAGAUACGGCCCAGACUCCUACGGGAGGCAGCUGUGGGGAAUAUUGCACAAUGGGCUGAAGCCUGAUGCAGCAACGCCGCGUGCGGGAUGACGGCCUUCGGGUUGUAAACCGCUUUCGCCUGUGACGAAGCGUGAGUGACGGUAAUGGGUAAAGAAGCACCGGCUAACUACGUG
rnacentral:rRNA from 1 species